rnacentral:lncRNA from 1 species
GGUUGUGCUUACACUUAUUAUACAUGUCUUACAUGUACAUUUUGUUAUAUAUAUAAAUACAAACCUCAAGCUAGAUGUAUACACAAGACUGUUUAAUGUUAAAGAAAAUGGUACCAAGAGAAGGCACUGCAAAAAUGGGGUAUGCGAUAAAAGAAGAAACUUUACCAUGGUUCCUAGAAGAAAGGCACCAUAGAUGCAAUAUUUGACAGUUCCCUUUGGGUGGUUUA